rnacentral:tRNA from 1 species
GGGGGUGCAGCUCAGUGGUAGAGUACUUGCCUAGCAUGCUUGAGGCCUUGGGUUAAAUUCCAAGCACCACGG